rnacentral:siRNA from 1 species
UUUAGAGCUAAGGAUUGCCACAUC